rnacentral:lncRNA from 1 species
UCCUACGACAGCUGUCAAUCCUUGGACAGCUCGAAAGAGUUCGGCAAACUCAGCCCUAGUUGGAUGAUCCUAGGUCUCGAGUCUUUCGGUACACUUUAUGGAAGGUCUUCCUCGCGUCAUUCCUACAAAAGAAAGGAAGACAUGAGUUGGUGGUCUAAUUUGAAACAAAGGACUUAUUCUUCCUAAAUAUCCUAAGGGUCUUUCUACCUACAUUCUUAGUUGUAAGGGAUUUG